GUCAUAGUGGCGUAGUGGUUAGCGCACUAGCCCCGGCUAGGUGCAAGACGCGGGUUCGAAUCCCGCCUGAGAUG
rnacentral:tRNA from 1 species